rnacentral:rRNA from 1 species
UACGUAGGGGGCAAGCGUUGUCCGGAUUUACUGGGCGUAAAGAGCGUGUAGGCGGCCAAGCAGGUCCGUUGUGAAAACUGGAGGCUUAACCUCCAGACGUCGACGGAAACCGCGUGGCUAGAGUCCGGAAGAGGAGAGUGGAAUUCCUGGUGUAGCGGUGAAAUGCGCAGAUAUCAGGAAGAACACCAAUGGCGAAGGCAGCUCUCUGGGACGGUACUGACGCUGAGAUGCGAAAGCGUGGGGAGCGAACAGG